GCCCAGGUGGCGGAAUUGGUAGACGCACUAGGUUCAGGUCCUAGCGGUGGCAACACCAUGGAAGUUCGAGUCUUCUCCUGGGCACCA
rnacentral:tRNA from 1 species